GAAGGAAAUUAAGUACGGAAGUUCCUGAUUUCACGCUGUCAAGAAAAGCCUCUAGGAAGAGUAGUACUGCCCGUACCGCAAACCGACACAGGUAGAUGAGGAGAGAAUCCUAAGGUGAGCGAGAGAACUCUCGUUAAGGAACUCGGCAAAAUGACCCCGUAACUUCGGGAGAAGGGGUGCUCUAUUAGGGUGCAAGCCCGAGAGAGCCGCAGUGAAUAGGCCCAGGCGACUGUUUAGCAAAAACACAGGUCUCUGCAAAACCGUAAGGUGACGUAUAGGGGCUGACGCCUGCCCGGUGCUGGAAGGUUAAGAGGAGUGCUUAGCUUCGGCGAAGGUACGAAUUGAAGCCCCAGUAAACGGCGGCCGUAACUAUAACGGUCCUAAGGUAGCGAAAUUCCUUGUCGGGUAAGUUCCGACCCGCACGAAAGGCGCAACGAUCUGGGCACUGUCUCAACGAGAGACUCGGUGAAAUUAUAGUACCUGUGAAGAUGCAGGUUACCCGCGACAGGACGGAAAGACCCCGUGGAGCUUUACUGCAACCUGAUAUGGAAUGUUUGUACCGCUUGUACAGGAUAGGUAGGAGCCGAAGAGACGUGUGCGCUAGCAUACGAGGAGGCAAUGGUGGGAUACUACCCUGGCUGUAUGACCAUUCUAACCCGCCACGCUUAGCGCGUGGGGAGACAGUGUCAGGUGGGCAGUUUGACUGGGGCGGUCGCCUCCUAAAGAGUAACGGAGGCGCCCAAAGGUUCCCUCAGAAUGGAUGGAAAUCAUUCGCAGAGUGUAAAGGCACAAGGGAGCUUGACUGCGAGACUGACAAGUCGAGCAGG
rnacentral:rRNA from 1 species